AUUGAACGCUAGCGGGAUGCUUUACACAUGCAAGUCGAACGGCAGCGCGGACUUCGGUCUGGCGGCGAGUGGCGAACGGGUGAGUAAUGUAUCGGAACGUGCCCAGUAGCGGGGGAUAACUACGCGAAAGCGUAGCUAAUACCGCAUACGCCCUACGGGGGAAAGCAGGGGAUCGUAAGACCUUGCACUAUUGGAGCGGCCGAUAUUGGAUUAGCUAGUUGGUGAGGUAACGGCUCACCAAGGCGACGAUCCGUAGCUGGUUUGAGAGGACGACCAGCCACACUGGGACUGAGACACGGCCCAGACUCCUACGGGAGGCAGCAGUGGGGAAUUUUGGACAAUGGGGGCAACCCUGAUCCAGCCAUCCCGCGUGUGCGAUGAAGGCCUUCGGGUUGUAAAGCACUUUUGGCAGGAAAGAAACGUCGCGGGCUAAUACCCCGUGGAACUGACGGUACCUGCAGAAUAAGCACCGGCUAACUACGUG
rnacentral:rRNA from 1 species